ACUUGGGUAAUUUAAUAAAAAAAUAUUGAUUUGUGGUGUCAAAAAUAUGAGAUUAAACUCAUCCCAGGUC
rnacentral:tRNA from 1 species